rnacentral:rRNA from 1 species
UACGUAGGGUGCAAGCGUUGUCCGGAAUUAUUGGGCGUAAAGAGCUCGUAGGCGGCUCGUCGCGUCGGCUGUGAAAACCUGGGGCUCAACCCCGGGCCUGCAGCCGAUACGGGCGCGCUUGAGGACUGGAGAGGAGUCUGGAAUUCACAGUGGAGCAGUGAAAUGCGUGGAUAUUGUGAGGAACACUAGUGGCGAAGGCGAGACUCUGGACAGUUCCUGACGCUGAGGCACGAAGGCCAGGGGAGCAAACGGG